rnacentral:rRNA from 1 species
AUCGAACGCUGGCGGCAGGCCUAACACAUGCAAGUCGAACGAGUGGCGGACGGGUGAGUAAUGUCUGGGAAACUGCCUGAUGUAGGGGGAUAACUACUGGAAACGGUAGCUAAUCCCGCAUACCAUCAGAUGUGCCCAGAUGGGAUUAGCUUGUUGGUGGGGUAACGGCUCACCAAGGCGACGAUCCCUAGCUGGUCUGAGAGGAUGACAGGCCACACUGGAACUGAUAAACGGUCCAUGGGCCUGAGGGAGGGAGCAGUGGCGAAUAUUGGAAAGUGGGCGCAAACCUUAUGCAGGCAUGCCGCGUGUAUUAAGAAGGCGUGCGGGGGGUAAAGUACGUUCAGCGGGGAGGCGUUACCUGCAGAAGAAGCACCGGCUAACUCCGUGCCAGCAGCCGCGGUAAUAC